rnacentral:rRNA from 1 species
GACGAACGCUGGCGGCGUGCUUAACACAUGCAAGUCGAGCGGUAAGGCCCUUCGGGUACACGAGCGGCGAACGGGUGAGUAACACGUGGGUAACCUGCCCUCAGCUCUGGGAUAAGCCCGGGAAACUGGGUCUAAUACCGGAUAUCACCUUGGGGAGGCAUCUUCCGGGGUUGAAAGUUUUUGGCGGCUGAGGAUGGGCCCGCGGCCUAUCAGCUUGUUGGUGGGGUAGUGGCCUACCAAGGCGACGACGGGGUAGCCGGCCUGAGAGGGCGACCGGCCACACUGGGACUGAGACACGGCCAGACUCCUACGGGAGGCAGCAGUGGGGAAUAUUGCACAAUGGGCGAAAGCCUGAUGCAGCGACGCCGCGUGAGGGAUGACGG